rnacentral:misc_RNA from 1 species
UCUCCGUUGGUAAACCAGCGGAGGGAUCAUUACAGAGUUGCAAAACUCCCAAACCAUUGUGAACGUUACCUAUCCCGUUGCUUCGGCGGGCGGCCCGGGCCCCGCGCCCGGCGCCCCCCGGCCCCCCGUGGGCGCCCGCCGGAGGUAAACCAAACCCUUGAAUUGCAUGGCCUCUCUGAGUCUUCUGUACUGAAUAAGUCAAAACUUUCAACAACGGAUCUCUUGGUUCUG